ensembl:lncRNA
UUUUGGACCUAUGUGUCUUGCUAUGCAACUGACACUAGCCUCCAAUGGUGUCGUAUAUGAUUCCAACAGAUUUAUCAGCGUUUCCCAAGCCGCUUUUUCUGUGAUACUGUAACAUGCACGUGUUGUACCAGGUGCAUUCAGCCUGAAAUUAGCAGUCUCAGUGAACCGAAAAAGAAUUAUUUGUAGGGGUAAAGAACUGCAGAAACCAGCUUUUCUUUUUUGUAAACCCGGUCUCUGAGGACCCAAGACCAGUCUGCAAUUUUAAUUCUGUUCCAGCAUCUGAGCAAACACACAAGACUGAUCACUGACUCAUCACUGACGCAGGUGUGAAUCAAGAUUCUAUGGAGCAAGAAAUUGAUUUCAAACAGAUUAGCUUAUGUUCCGUAUUUUUUAUUUGUAUUUUUUUUAACCACAGCGCUGUUGCGUUCUCAAUUCUGACUGGUCAGAAGGUUGAUUAAUUUUUUUAGAACAGUAACUCGGACACUAGUGUCAGUUGCAAUUCAGAUCACAGGCUUAUAUUAAUAUCAUUCUAAUACCCUGUUAUAUGUAAUGUAUAAAUGUGUGAGGUAAAACUAGUAAAUGUGAGCCUCUUGUGUGAAUGAGUGAGGUAAAACUAGUAAAUGUGAGUCUUUUAUAUGAAUGUGUGAGGUAAAACUAGUAAAUGUGAGCCUUUUAUAUGAAUGUGUGAGGUAGAACUAGUAAAUGUGAGCCUUUUACAUGAAUGUGUGAGGUAGAACUAGUAAAUGUGAGCCUUUUGUAUGAAUGCGUGAGGUAAAACUAGUAAAUGUGAACCUUUUAUAUGAAUGCGUGAGGUAAAACUAGUAAAUGUGAGCCUUUUGUAUGAAUGGGUGAGGUAAAAAUUAUAAAUGUGAGCCUUUUAUAUGAAUGUGUGAGGUAGAACUAGUAAAUGUGAGCCUUUUAUAUGAAUGAGGUAGAACUAGUAAAUGUGAGCCUUUUGUAUGAAUGUGUGAGGUAAAACUAGUAAAUGUGAGCCUUUUGUAUGAAUGGGUGAGGUAUAACUAGUAAAUGUGAGCCUUUUGUAUGAAUGGGUGAGGUAAAAAUUAUGAAUGUGAGGUAAAACUAGUAAAUGUGAGCCUUUUAUAUGAAUGAGUGAGGUAGAACUAGUAAAUGUGAGCCUUUUGUAUGAAUGUGUGAGGUAGAACUAGUAAAUGUGAGCUUUUUAUUUGAAGUGAAACAGUAAUGAGGUCAAAUCUUAAUCAACUUCAGGGUGGUAGGAAUUUCACAAAGAAGCAUUUUCCAAAACUUCUUUGUUACAAAAACAAAUUUCUUAAAGCUAGCAUGACUGCAAACUGGCCAAACACGGGCAGUGACAUUCUGACAUUUUGCCCAUGAUGUCUGUGUGUGUGUCUGGUUAAGUAACGGGUUGGCGAAAUGGAUCAAUUGAAGAGUGACUCAGUUCCAUCCCGAGGUCUUCAGGUUACUUCCUGGAAACGUUGAGUGGACAUUCCACUCCGAUAAAGACACCUCCUGGUUACACACACGCACAACCGAGCUGAGUUAUUUAUGCAUGGACAGUAUUAGAGUUCACCAAAGGCAGGCCAAAAUCGCCUCAUCAUGAUGUUAACACUUGGACUGUGUGUGUGUCAGAGUGAAGGAAAUAGUGCUGUGUAGUGUGCAUUCAGCAGUUCUUUUCCAUUCAUAUAGACAAGGUGAAAUGAAUGAAAAAGGAAUCUGUGACUCUCAAAGAAAACCCGAAUCCCCAAAAAAUGGUGCUUCGUUGUUUACAGAAUUCAUCCACAAAUUAAUAAUAGUUUUAUGGUUAAGAUCACAAAUCGGUCAAUAAUGGAUCCUAG